rnacentral:ncRNA from 1 species
GCUGGACCGUGUACAAGUCUCCUGGAACGGAGCGUCAUAGAGGGUGAGAAUCCCGUCUUUGACACGGACUACCAGUGCUCUGUGAUGCGCUCUCAAAGAGUCGAGUUGUUUGGGAAUGCAGCUCCAAAUGGGUGGUAAACUCCAUCUAAAGCUAAAUAUUGGCGAGAGACCGAUAGCGAACAAGUACCGUGAGGGAAAGAUGAAAAGCACUUUGGAAAGAGAGUUAAACAGUACGUGAAAUUGCUGAAAGGGAAACGCUUGAAGUCAGUCGCGUUUGCUAGGACUCAGCCUUGUCUCGGCUUGGUGCAUUUCCUAGUGGACGGGCCAGCAUCACUUUUGGCUGCGGGAAAAAGGUCAGAGGAAUGUGGCACCUUCGGGUGUGUUAUAGCCUCUGGCUGCAUACCGUGGCUGGGAGUGAGGAACUCAGCAUGCCUUUAUGGCGGGGCUUCGGCCACCUUCGUGCUUAGGAUGCUGGCGUAAUGGCUUUAAGCGACCCGUCUUGAAACACGGACCAAGGAGUCUAACUUGCCUGCGAGUGUUUGGGUGGAAAACCCGAGCGCGUAAUGAAAGUGAAAGUUGGGACCUCUGUCGUGGAGGGCACCGACGCCCGGACCUGAACUUCGGUGACGGCUCUGCGGUAGAGCAUGCAUGUUGGGACCCGAAAGAUGGUGAACUAUGCCUGAAUAGGGUGAAGCCAGAGGAAACUCUGGUGGAGGCUCGUAGCGAUUCUGACGUGCAAAUCGAUCGUCAAAUUUGGGUAUAGGGGCGAAAGACUAAUCGAACCAUCUAGUAGCUGGUUCCUGCCGAAGUUUCCCUCAGGAUAGCAGAAACUCGUAUCAGAUUUAUGUGGUAAAAGCGAAUGAUUAGAGGCCUUGGGGUUGAAACAACCUUAACCUAUUCUCAAACUUUAAAUAUGUAAGAACAACCCGUCACUUGAUUGGACCGGUUGGCGAUUGAGAGUUUCUAGUGGGCCAUUUUUGGUAAGCAGAACUGGCGAUGCGGGAUGAACCGAACGCGAGGUUAAGGUGCC